GGUAAAAUCCCUUCGACAACGCGCAGCUUGCAACUUGUCGUCGACGUAAUUUUUCGCUUCUCGAUCAAGGCCACAUUCCUCGGUCCUCGCAUUCGCAACUUUUAACGUCGUGGUACCGACACAUUUCGUCCUUUGAAGACUUGAACAGAGAGGCGGAUCCCCCGCUUUACGAUUCACGUUUCAGUUCACGAUUAUAAUUAAGGAACGAUCGACGGCUCGCACAAUGCGGUUCCGCUAUGUUUAACAUCGUACAACUUAUUGCGUAUUAUCGAUCAUUUUCAGAACGAGAGUGCAAUCGGUAUCAUAUAACUUCACGGCUCGACCUGCACGAGGAAAUUAAGGAAUGUCGAAAGCUUAGCUCUGAGAAGCGCACGUGCGUGAGAUUGUAAUCCCACACCCCGUGAUCCGUCGUACGGGGAUUUAUUGUUUCUAAAGCCGCGGUAUGAUAUCGAUUGCUCCGAUCGCAAAGUAUAAUAUUAUAAUUCAUAAGUAUUGGUGUAUCGUGUUAGAUCGACGUUAGAGGUCUUCAGCGCGAUUAAUAUAUCCGAUUGAACAAAUCCGUUUCUCUCGGAACAACGUUUAGAAUCUACCGAUUGGAACAUGAGUCCCUGGUGUGUGAAAUUUCAAUAUAUUGGGUCCCUGUAUUUAAAUACACCGUUUCCUCUCAUCCGGACUGAUCCCUGAUCAUCCCACACAUUCGCGAAUCUCUUACAUGACUUACAUUUAUACAUAUUAUGCGUGGAGAACUCUCUCUAUCGCAAGGGGAGGGGGGGGGGGGAAAGAAAAGAAAUGGAGCGUGUUCCGCGGCUACUUGUCUCUCAUUUCCUCUCCCUUUCUUUGCUAUCUAUACUUCGCACAAAUAAAAUUAUUCCGCUCGUCGGAGUCGGAAAGGGGGCGACGGGGAUAUCUCGUACAUCAAGGGCUAUACACAGUUUCGCUAUUAUCGUUUGUUAAUUUUCUUCUAACUAUGUAUUCUAUCGCCAAGCAGCGAGUCACACCUAUGUAAGUUAUCGUUUCAAUAUAUCCAUAUGCUUUAUAUGUAUAUGUAUAGAGUAUAUAUACUAGAGAUAUUAAUAUAUAUAUGUAUGAUACAUAUGAUAUAUUAAUAUGAGAUAUAACAUUAUCUAUGGUCACAGUGCAAACGAUUUCAGACGCGACGACUUGUGGAGCCGCAAACGCCGCCGGCAACACGGUAUUUGAGCUUCGAUUGAUCUAAUGACGAUCGGGACGCGAUUUCGAUGCCUACGCUGACUCGUCGUCGUCUAACAAAAUCAUUAGAUUCGCCACGAUCGCCAUCAUUGGAGACCACACGAGAUUCAUGAAAAGAGCUUCUGCAGCGGGGAAAACGCGAUGAUAAAUAACGUGUUAUACGAACUAAAAUGCAUUAUGUUUUGUAUUGCCGGGAAAUGGCAUAUAAACGCAUUCUUCCUCUAUCUGAUAUUAAUUAUAGCGCGGGUAGAAGAGGCACUUUCUCAUCUCGCUUAUUGUAUUACCUGUUUCCCUCUUACACUAUAAAUUUUAUAAUAUCAAAUUGUACAAAUUUUUCUUUUUCAAUUUUUCAAUCAGGUAGAUAAUUCAUUGCUGAAUUAAAUGACAUACGGACAUACAUUUUUGUUGUAAAACAAAAAUAUAAAUGGAAAUUAAUAAACAUCAUAUUUCAUAAAAA